rnacentral:rRNA from 1 species
AUUAAAGAGUUCUAUAACUCCCAAACCCAUGUGAACAUACCUAACGUUGCCUCGGCAGGUCGCACCUACCUUGUAGCAUCCUACCCUGUAGGGCCUACCCGGGAGGUGCGGGUAAGCCUGCCGGCGGCCCACCAAACUCUGUUUGAUAUUGAAUUCUGAACCUAUAACUAAAUAAGUUAAAACUUUCAACAACGGAUCUCUUGGUUCUGGCAUCGAUGAAGAACGCAGCGAAAUGCGAUAAGUAAUGUGAAUUGCAGAAUUCAGUGAAUCAUCGAAUCUUUGAACGCAUAUUGCGCCCAUUAGUAUUCUAGUGGGCAGGACCGUUCGAGCGUCAUUUCAACCCUUAAGCCUUCGUUGCUUAGUGUUGGGAGCCUACGGCAACGUAGCUCCUCAAAGUUAGUGGCGGAGUUGGUUCACACUCUAGACGUAGUAAUUUUUUAUCUCGCCUAUUAGUUGGACUAAUCCCCUGCCGUAAAACCCCCAAUUUAUCAAGGUUGACCUCGAAUCGGUUCAGACAAACUCGCUAAAUUGAAGCAUCUUAGUCAGCGAAGGAAAAGAAACCAACAGGGAUUGCCCUAGUAACGGCGAGUGAAGCGGCAACAGCUCAAAUUUGAAAUCUG